UACGUAGGGGGCUAGCGUUGUCCGGAAUCAUUGGGCGUAAAGCGCACGUAGGCGGAUCUUUAAGUCAGGGGUGAAAUCCCGAGGCUCAACCUCGGAACUGCCUUUGAUACUGGGGAUCUCGAGUCCGGGAGAGGUGAGUGGAACUGCGAGUGUAGAGGUGAAAUUCGUAGAUAUUCGCAAGAACACCAGUGGCGAAGGCGGCUCACUGGCCCGGAACUGACGCUGAGGUGCGAAAGCGUGGGGAGCAAACAGG
rnacentral:rRNA from 1 species